GUUGAAAACAAUUAUUUUUUUCACAUUAAGUUUCUUUUUUCAAAAAAGCAAAAGAAUAAUAAAUAUUAAGAUAUUUGAUGUUGCUUGAAAUCCUUAGGUCAGAACCUAAUCAGAUGGUGCCUAAAAUCAAGGAGAAAAGAUGAGGUCAGUGGCCUGAGUUAGGCCACUCCAACGCUCAAGUCAAUAAAUGCCAAGAAAGCAAAUACUAAUAAAAAAGUAGGAGAAUUGCAUACCUUCCAUAUUGCUGUGACCAUUAUUUAUAGAGUGGAGAAAAGUAACUCUUCCGGAUUAAUCAGGAUUUUAUGUUAAUUGAUUCCACUUUUUAAGGAAGUGCCAAUUAACAUGCCCUAUAUUCCCGGCUUCAACAUAGGACAUGCUUUUAUCCUGCAUUUCUCUUUUAUCCGAUCACUUUCUUCUUAUUCGAUCAUGUAUUUAUUCCGAUCAUCUCAAAUAUCUUACCUCAUCCGAACACUUCAUUAUUUGUUCGAACAUCUGGUGUCUUAAUUGAACACCUUAUGUCCUGCUCAAGCUCCUGAUGUCUAACCUUGGUUCGGGCUCCAAAAUCCAGUCCCCAAUCACCUGAGAUCGGAUUUUUAUCCAUAUUAUAACAUUAGUCCCUCCAUCAAUUUGAAUCUUUAGGUUCGGAUUGCCUCCUAUGAAAUCGUGUCAGCAUUAACUGCACUUGACAACUGUAUCGUUUAAAACUAAAAAGACAAAUUGUCCUUAUACGUUUUUGGGGUGAAUUUUUUGGCGGCUUGUUUUGAAUUUUAAAUUCUACAAUUGCCUAUAAAAGUAUUUUUUUCAAAAAUAAAGUCAUUUUCAUCUUCCUUUUGCGAACCAUAGCAUCCUUGACCUUCCAUCUAAUGUACUUUUCAUCCUCUUCCGAUGAGCUUCUGCCGACUUAGCAGACAGGUAAACUCUACUGUUUUCCUUUUUUCUACACUUAGCCUUUCUUUUUAGUAUCACGAGUGAGAAA
rnacentral:misc_RNA from 1 species